rnacentral:misc_RNA from 1 species
CCGAGUUUUUAUUACUCAAAACCCUGCUAAUUUACCAUUAUAUGCUUCGGCGGUCGGCCCCGGGGGGCGCUACAACGGUCGCCGAUAGCACCCAAAAUCUCUGUCAGUGUAUUCUGAAGUAAAAAAAACAAAAUCA